rnacentral:rRNA from 1 species
CCAUACUCCUACGGGAGGCAGCAGUGAGGAAUAUUGGUCAAUGGGCGGAAGCCUGACCAGCCAUGCCGCGUGCGGGAAGGAGGCCCUAUGGGCUGUGAACCGCUUUUGCCUGGGGGCAAUAAGGGCGUCGCGCACGUCCGAUGAGAGUACCAGGGGAAUAAGCAUCGGCUAACUCCGUGCCAGCAGCCGCGGUAAUACGGGGGAUGCGAGCGUUAUCCGGAUUCAUUGGGUUUAAAGGGUGCGUAGGCUGUGCGUCAAGUCAGGGGUGAAAUUCCGGUGCUCAACUCCGGGGCUGCCCUUGAUACUGUCGCGCUGGAGUGCGGAUGCCGCCGGAGGAAUGAGUGGUGUAGCGGUGAAAUGCUUAGAUAUCACUCAGAACACCGAUUGCGAAGGCAUCUGGCGAAUCCGUAACUGACGCUGAGGCACGAAAGCGUGGGGAUAGAACAGGAUUAGAUACCCUGGUAUUCCACGCCGUAAACGAUGAUGGCUAACCGCCGGCGACACACUGUCGGUGGCCAAGCGAAAGCGAUAAGCCAUCCACCUGGGGAGUA